GGCACACGUUGGCUUAGUGGUUAGUACAUUCGCCUCACACCUCCAGGGUCCGGGGUUCGAUUCCCACCGUGGCCG